GGGGGAUAUUGCACAAUGGGGGGAACCCUGAUGCAGCGACGCCGCGUGGGCGAUGGAGUACUUCGGUAUGUAAAGCCCUAUCAGCAGGGAAGAAAAUGACGGUACCUGACUAAGAAGCCCCGGCUAAAUACGUGCC
rnacentral:rRNA from 1 species